AGAGUUUGAUCAUGGCUCAGGAUGAACGCUGGCGGCGUGCCUAACACAUGCAAGUCGAGCGAUUCUUUUCGGAGAAGAGCGGCGGACGGGUGAGUAACGCGUGGGUAACCUACCCUGUACACACGGAUAACAUACCGAAAGGUAUGCUAAUACGAGAUAAUAUACUUUUAUCGCAUGGUAGAAGUAUCAAAGCUCCGGCGGUACAGGAUGGACCCGCGUCUGAUUAGCUAGUUGGUAAGGUAACGGCUUACCAAGGCGACGAUCAGUAGCCGACCUGAGAGGGUGAUCGGCCACAUUGGAACUGAGACACGGUCCAAACUCCUACGGGAGGCAGCAGUGGGGAAUAUUGCACAAUGGGCGAAAGCCAGAUGCAGCAACGCCGCGUGAGCGAUGAAGGCCUUCGGGUCGUAAAGCUCUGUCCUCAAGGAAGAUAAUGACGGUACUUGAGGAGGAAGCCCCGGCUAACUACGUGCCAGCAGCCGCGGUAAUACGUAGGGGGCUAGCGUUAUCCGGAAUUACUGGGCGUAAAGGGUGCGUAGGUGGUUUCUUAAGUCAGAGGUGAAAGGCUACGGCUCAACCGUAGUAAGCCUUUGAAACUGGGGAACUUGAGUGCAGGAGAGGAGAGUGGAAUUCCUAGUGUAGCGGUGAAAUGCGUAGAUAUUAGGAGGAACACCAGUUGCGAAGGCGGCUCUCUGGACUGUAACUGACACUGAGGCACGAAAGCGUGGGGAGCAAACAGGAUUAGAUACCCUGGUAGUCCACGCCGUAAACGAUGAGUACUAGCUGUCGGAGGUUACCCCCUUCGGUGGCGCAGCUAACGCAUUAAGUACUCCGCCUGGAAGUACGCUCGCAAGAGUGAAACUCAAAGGAAUUGACGG
rnacentral:rRNA from 1 species